ACGAUAAGGCUUAACACAUGCAAGUACGAGGGGCGAGCAAUUCGUAGCAAUACGAAGUUAGGCGACCGGCGCACGGUGAGUAACGCGUAUGCACCUAACCCGCAACAAGUAAGGAUAAUCCGGCGAAAGUACGGUCUAAUACUUCAUAAUACAGGGACACCGCAUGGUGAUAUUUGUUAAAGAUUAAUUGGUUGCGGAUGGGCAUGCGUGCCAUUAGGUAGUUGGUGAGGUAACGGCCCACCAAGCCGACGAUGGUUAGGGGUUCUGAGAGGAAAAUCCCCCACACUGGUACUGAGACACGGACCAGACUCCUACGGGAGGCAGCAGUGAGGAAUAUUGGUCAAUGGGCGAGAGCCUGAACCAGCCAAGUCGCGUGAAGGAAGACGGCCCUAUGGGUUGUAAACUUCUUUUGCAGGGGAAUAAAGAUAUCCACGUGGGGGUAAUUGUAUGUACCCUGCGAAUAAGCAUCGGCUAACUCCGUG
rnacentral:rRNA from 1 species